rnacentral:lncRNA from 1 species
CUCUUCCUAAGGACAACUGAAAGAAAGGCCUAAGGCUGAAGAGGAACUCUAAUACAACUAAAUUUCAGAAAAAUGCUGGCUAUGAAUUAUCCAAUUAAGGUUUAGGUGUUCAUGUUGUUCAGAAGACUGUUUGCUCUACAAAGAAAAGCCUCUUCAAAGAAGCACCACAGAAUCACUCACGUUGAUGUUAAACGCAUUUUGCGGAUACAGAGGUCUCCCGGUAGAAGACUAAUGUUCCCAACUCAACAAGGUUGUUGA